UCUGCUGCCGUCCUAAUCUUCUUUGUCUCCAAUACUUGUUCUAUGAGGUUAACAUACUUCUGCUCUUCACCAACACCAAAUUUCUUUAUCAAUUUUUGGAUUUAAUUUGCAUUUUCUAAGAUUGAAAACUUGUGUGCAAUUUUUUUUUUUCCACUAAAGCUGAACUGUUUGUAGUUUCUCAAGAUUUACAAAUCCCAAUCUGAUAUGAGACAACUGAAAAAGGAAAAAAAAAAAAAAAAA